rnacentral:rRNA from 1 species
UGGGGAAUAUUGGACAAUGGGCGCAAGCCUGAUCCAGCAAUGCCGCGUGAGUGAUGAAGGCCUUAGGGUUGUAAAGCUCUUUCAGCGGGGACGAUGAUGACGGUACCCGCAGAAGAAGCCCCGGCUAACUUCGUGCCAGCAGCCGCGGUAAUACGAAGGGGGCUAGCGUUGUUCGGAAUUACUGGGCGUAAAGGGCGCGUAGGCGGCACUUCAAGUCAGGCGUGAAAGCCCCGGGCUUAACCUGGGAACUGCGUUUGAGACUGGAGCGCUCGAAUUCGGGAGAAGUGAGUGGAAUUCCCAGUGUAGAGGUGAAAUUCGUAGAUAUUGGGAAGAACACCGGUGGCGAAGGCGGCUCACUGGACCGACACUGACGCUGAGGCGCGAAAGCGUGGGGAGCAAACAGG